rnacentral:rRNA from 1 species
ACUCCUACGGGAGGCAGCAGUGGGGAAUCUUGGACAAUGGGGGCAACCCUGAUCCAGCCAUGCCGCGUGAGCGAUGAAGGCCUUAGGUUUGUAAAGCUCUUUCAGCGGGGAAGAUAAUGACGGUACCCGCAGAAGAAGCCCCGGCUAACUCCGUGCCAGCAGCCGCGGUAAU